rnacentral:rRNA from 1 species
UAAGCAUAUCACUAAGCGGAGGAAAAGAAACUAACAAGGAUUCCCUCGGCCGGCGGGAACUGUGGUGUAUGGGACACCAACUGUCGUCAGACCGGACGCCGAAGUCCUCCUGAUCGGGGCCUCUCCCAGAGCGGGUGUCAGGCCUUUACUGGCGUCUGGUCGGUCGGCUGCGAGCGUCUCUCGAGUCGGGUUGUUUGGGAAUGCAGCCCAAAGAGGGUGGUAAACUCCAUCUAAGGCUAAAUACUGGCACGAGUCCGAUAGC